rnacentral:rRNA from 1 species
ACUCCUACGGGAGGCAGCAGUGGGGAAUAUUGCACAAUGGGGGAAACCCUGAUGCAGCCAUGCCGCGUGUGUGAAGAAGGCCUUCGGGUUGUAAAGCACUUUCAGCGAGGAGGAAAGGUUGGCGCCUAAUACGUGUCAACUGUGACGUUACUCGCAGAAGAAGCACCGGCUAACUCCGUGCCAGCAGCCGCGGUAAUACGGAGGGUGCAAGCGU